GCAGUGACUGAUCAGACCAUAGAUAUAUACGUAAGACAGCGCGCUAGCGUAUCUAGUCUGCUAUAUGUGUCUAUGGUCAGCUCGUCUGGUAGCAUCUCUGGCUGCUGUUGACCUUGUUUUUGGAGUAAAACACGGUGGAAGCUGAAUUAGGGAGGAUGACUCCUGCUCCUGUCAUCUCUAAGCUCCUCACACAUCUUUACCUGCACAUGAGGAAAAUCACUCCUGUAGAAUGCAGAUGUUUAGAGGGAGAUGAUGCCACAUCUGGUCCAGCUGAUGGAAGGUCUUGAAGUUCUCUGACUGGCCUCGACUGAAGAUGGUCGUCUCACUGGAUUUAAGGUUCAGAUGCUCAGUAACAAACGCCACCAACGUGCCAACAGGGAAGCUUUAGGUUUAUUAAAUGUUGCUAUGAAGGUAUCGCUGUUUUUCUUUGUGAAUGCAAUGUGCUCCAACUGAAACUUGAAUUAGAACUUAGAAGUAAAUCCUUCCAUCUGAAAGGAUUUAGUUGCAUUAAUAACCUCAUAACAUUCUAAUUUUUAUUCCAGUCUUGGUUGGAAAUAGAAUCUCUGUAUUGAUUCAGGUAAAAACUGAACUUCACAGCAUGUUGGAGCAAAACAACCAGAUGAAAACUGUGAUGGUGUUGGAUUGUCGGACCGUAAUGUUGCAGCUCAAAGCAGCUUUUCUAGCUCAGUUCAUUCUGACAUUCAGCUAUGAAUCAACACAGCAGAUGGUGAUCCAUGCUUUGGAAGUCUCACGGCAAUCACGGCAGCAUGAGCUUCAUUUCAGUCUGUAGCUGCUGAAUUCAUGGAUGAAUCAUCUGGCACUAGAGAGGAAGAACAUCAAACAUCCACAUCAGCUGAUGGAGGUCCAAGAGUUUCACCGAACAAACAACCUACAGAGUGAAGACCUCGAAUCUGAUUGGACGGCCUCCUAUUCAGCCACGUGUGAACAAAUGCCUCUAAGUUGAUCUGUUUUCUAAAAUAAAUCUAGUUUGAGUUCUAA